rnacentral:rRNA from 1 species
AUUGAACGCUGGCGGCAGGCCUAACACAUGCAAGUUGAACGAGUGGCGGACGGGUGUGCCAUGUUUGGGCAUCUAGCUUAUGGAGGGGGUUAACUACGGGAAACUGAAGCCAAUACCGCUUACCAUAGCAUGAGUCCAAGUGGGAUUAGGUGGUUGGUGAGGUAAAGGCACACCAAGCCGACGAUCUCUAGCUGGUCUGAGAGGAUGACCGGCCACACUGGGGCUGGGACAGGGCCCAGACUCCUACGGGAGACGGCAGUGGGGUAUUUUGCGCAAUGUGGGAAAACGGACGCAGCCCUGCCGCGUAGAUGAAGAAGGCCUUCGAGUUAUAAAGUUCUUUGGAUGACGAUGCGUUAACUACAGAAAGAUCACCGGCUAACUCCGUGCCAGCCGCCGCGGUAAUAC